ensembl:processed_transcript Gas5 growth arrest specific 5
CUUUCGGAGCUGUGCGGCACUCUGAGCAGGAAUGGCAGUGUGGACCUCUGUGAUGGGACAUCUUGUGGGAUCUCACAGCCAGUUCUGUGGCAAAGGAGGAUGAAGGCUUACGAGGACUCGUCAGGAAGCUGGAUAACAGAGCGAGCGCAAUGUAAGCAAUUUUGUGUGUGCAUGUGGUCCCAUUACAAGGAAUACCCAAUGGCAAAUGAGCACUAAAGAUCCCUCAACCCACACAUUGAAUGUAUUGUUCCCUGAGAACAAUUGUAGAUAGAGGAGUGGGUGGGAGAUCUGAAGUCAGGGCAUUGUUUCUGCGUAUCUGAGGAGGCUGGUUUUUGAUAUGUGGGAGCUAGUGGUCGUUAACGCAUUUACCCCCUAUUUGGUGGACUCUGGUUCCCCCAUCUUAAGUGCUGAGUCAGGGGCCUAACCGGGCAGCUUUAACUAUUUGUUUGUUGUAGGUGCUAGAAUAGAAGACCAGAAAAUGAAAUGGUGGAGUUUGAGGCUGGAUAGACAGUUUGAAAGGUACAAAUGAUGGUUUGAAUAAAGAAAGGUAUUACGCAUGGGUCACCUCAAGUGAAGGCACUGCAAACACAAUGAUUGGUCAUUCUGAAUUUCCGGUCCUUCAUUCUGAAUUUCAAAGGCUCCUGUGACAAGUGGACAUGCAGUGACUGUACCUUUGUUUCUGAGGUGCCUGGAUGGAGGCUCAAAUAGAAGAUGGUGUCAGAUAUAUUGUGUUAAAAUUUUACCAUUAAAGUGUAUUAUAAC